UGGGGAAUAUUGCGCAAUGGGCGAAAGCCUGACGCAGCGACGCCGCGUGGGGGAUGAAGGCCUUCGGGUUGUAAACCUCUUUCACCACCGACGAAGCUAACGUGACGGUAGGUGGGGAAGAAGCGCCGGCUAACUACGUGCCAGCAGCCGCGGUAAUACGUAGGGCGCAAGCGUUGUCCGGAAUUAUUGGGCGUAAAGAGCUCGUAGGCGGUCUGUCACGUCUGCCGUGAAAACCCGAGGCUUAACCUCGUGGCUUGCGGUGGAUACGGGCAGACUAGAGGUAGGUAGGGGAGAAUGGAAUUCCCGGUGUAGCGGUGAAAUGCGCAGAUAUCGGGAGGAACACCGGUGGCGAAGGCGGUUCUCUGGGCCUUACCUGACGCUGAGGAGCGAAAGCGUGGGGAGCGAACAG
rnacentral:rRNA from 1 species